rnacentral:rRNA from 1 species
AGUGAACGCUGGCGGUAGGCCUAACACAUGCAAGUCGAACGGCAGCACAGUAAGAGCUUGCUCUUACGGGUGGCGAGUGGCGGACGGGUGAGGAAUACAUCGGAAUCUACUUUUUCGUGGGGGAUAACGUAGGGAAACUUACGCUAAUACCGCAUACGACCUACGGGUGAAAGCAGGGGAUCUUCGGACCUUGCGCGAUUGAAUGAGCCGAUGUCGGAUUAGCUAGUUGGCGGGGUAAAGGCCCACCAAGGCGACGAUCCGUAGCUGGUCUGAGAGGAUGAUCAGCCACACUGGAACUGAGACACGGUCCAGACUCCUACGGGAGGCAGCAGUGGGGAAUAUUGGACAAUGGGCGCAAGCCUGAUCCAGCCAUACCGCGUGGGUGAAGAAGGCCUUCGGGUUGUAUAGCCCUUUUGUUGGGAAAGAAAAGCAGCAGGUUAAUACCCCGCCGUUCUGACGGUACCCAAAGAAUAAGCACCGGCUAACUUCGUG